UCAAUCAGUCGAUUCCCUCAUCCCCUUUGCUGCUUCUCCUUUUCACUUUCACCUUCACACGUCUGCUUCUCCUUCAUUUGUGCUUCGAAGACGUCUCCUCCUCUAUUUAAUUUCUGCAGCUUCUUCCUCUUGAAGACCGCCCACCUCCACUAGUCGUUGUCCCCUUUGGUCAACUUCAGCACUUAACAGCACUUUGUUGUUGACCCUGGCAGCUUCUUCAAGCGCCAGCUGCUCCAUUCCAUCGAGAAUUCCUUCAAUUCUUCGCACGUGCAGCUGCCACGUUCGCUCUCUCCAUUGUGCAGCUGCGUCCCCGCCGAAGCCACACGUCCCCGAGUCAACUCCUCGCACCUUCGGCUCCCACGGUCGAAGACACCAACGAAGCAGCCGUUUCCUCCUUUGCGCUUCUCCAUUCGGUGCUGCCCUCCAUCUUCGACCGACCAGCUUCUGUCUUCCACGCCACAUGUUCACGGCCUACCUCCCCUCAGUCAACAAAACCAGCAAGUUUUCCCCUUCGUUGACAGUAAGCCAACGAAGCAGCACCCACCGAGCUCUCCCAUCUUCAUCGUCCACCGCAUCCAGUUGCUCUUUGCUUCUUCGCGUGGGUUGCUGCCUCAAUGAAGACCAACUGCUUCGGUCUUCCUUCGCUCACGCCAGCUGGACCGAGCCCAUCGCCACAGCUGCUUCUUCAUUCAGCCCAAUUGAAGACCGAAGCCCACGUGAAUUUCCAGCAGCCCAAAAGUCCAGCAGUUCAGCCACUUGAAGCCCGGCCCAGUUCAGUGUUCCCAGCAGCCUUCAGCCCAGCGAAUUUGGUCCAACGAAGCCCAACAAGUUUCAGUUUUCAGCAGGCCCAAGCCCAAGUCUAAGCCCAGAAAUUUCUGCAGGCUUGUGAAGCUUUUAGGCCUAGCCCGAGUGUCCGCCGACGUCGCCGAAAAUUUGGAUUUCGGCCACCGUCGCGCCGCCGUCACAGUGAAGCAGUCUUCGCUUUUAACAAGACCCUGAUGAGGAGCCUAAGGAGGAGAACCCUGAUGUAAAACCUAAGGAGGAGGAAGAUUUUGAAGAAGAAGAUGAUCCAAAGAAUGAUCUUGAGUACGACCCGGAUGAGAACUGAGAUUCCAUCCUAUUUUAUGUGAACCUUGUGUUCUUGUAGAUAGGUGUGAGAUCAGACCUUUGUGAAUAGUAUAGUAAAACACUAUGGGUUGUGCUAUGUAUGUUGUGAAUUUCAUUAUGAAAAAUCAUGGCUCUGCUUUUCUAUCUCA